GUGGGGAAUAUUGGACAAUGGGCGAAAGCCUGAUCCAGCCAUGCCGCGUGUGUGAAGAAGGUCUUCGGAUUGUAAAGCACUUUAAGUUGGGAGGAAGGGCAGUAAGUUAAUACCUUGCUGUUUUGACGUUACCGACAGAAUAAGCACCGGCUAACUUCGUGCCAGCAGCCGCGGUAAUACGAAGGGUGCAAGCGUUAAUCGGAAUUACUGGGCGUAAAGCGCGCGUAGGUGGUUUUGUAAGUUGGAGGUGAAAUCCCCGGGCUCAACCUGGGAACGGCCUCCAAAACUGCAUGACUAGAGUACGGUAGAGGGUUGUGGAAUUUCCUGUGUAGCGGUGAAAUGCGUAGAUAUAGGAAGGAACACCAGUGGCGAAGGCGACUACCUGGACUGAUACUGACACUGAGGUGCGAAAGCGUGGGGAGCAAACAGGAUUAGAAACCCGUGUAGUCC
rnacentral:rRNA from 1 species